GCAUCAUUGGUCUAGUGGUAGAAUUCAUCGUUGCCAUCUGACGCUCAGAAUGACCUCUGAGCAGUCAUGUGACCUCAACUCGAUGAGGCCCGUGUUCGAUUCACGGAUGAUGCA